GUAGGGAAUAUUGGGCAAUGGAUGCAAGUCUGACCCAGCCAUCCCGCGUGCCGGAAGAAGGCCCUCAGGGUUGUAAACGGCUUUUGACGGUGAAGAAUCGACAGGAUGCGUCCUGUUUUGACGGUAGCCGUUGAAUAAGCACCGGCUAACUCCGUGCCAGCAGCCGCGGUAAUACGGAGGGUGCGAGCGUUGUCCGGAUUUAUUGGGUUUAAAGGGUGCGUAGGCUGGAAGGUCAGUCAGCGGUGAAAAGCUGUCGCUUAACGAUAGUCUUGCCGCAGAUACUUCCUUUCUUGGAUGAGGAGGAGGCCACUGGAACGGAUGGUGUAGCGGCGAAAUGCAUAGAUAUCAUCCAGAACACCGAUUGCGAAGGCAGGUGGCUGUACCUUAAUCGACGCUGAUGCACGAAAGCAUGGGGAGCAAACAGGAUUAGAAACCCGGGUAGUCC
rnacentral:rRNA from 1 species